AUUUGACUUCAAAUUUUGAAUGCGUCGCUUACGUUUGCAGAUUUAAUUGGUAUAUUUCAUACAAUCUGUCAAGUAUAAAUUCAUUCAAACAAUAAAUAAUUAGCUUAAAUUUCAAAUUUUAAAAUCAAAUAAAUUUAAAGAUUAGCUAGUAAAAUUAAAAUUUUGAAAAUAUGAUAGCUAAUUCAAAAUGGUCCAUACUUCAAAUAAGUUUUUAUACGUUUUUACUUUUAAAUAAUAUUCUAUUAUUCCUAGGGUAAACUUCAAAUACCACCUCUGUAAUUUCGUAUUUUCUCACUUUAGUAUCCUGUAAUUUAAACUGUAUCAAUUUAGUACCAUGUGGUUUCAUUUUUUUCUUUUCGUCAGCUCCUUCGUUAACAUUUCGUUAAAUUAUAUAUAAAAAACUUCAAAUAACCCACCUAGGUUUAUCAAAUAUUCACUUUAGUAUCUUUUAGCUUUAACUUUGUCAUUGAUUCAACGAAAAAAACUAGUGAAGGGAUAAUAAAAAGAAAAAAAUGAAACCAUACGAUACUAAAUUGAUACACUUUAAAACAUAGAUUACUAAAAUAAAAAAGUGCGAAACUAUAAAGAUGGUAUCUGAAGUUUUUCCAAUUUCUAAUAAACAUUUUCCACCAAAGCCUCUUGCUGUAACAACUACAA
rnacentral:lncRNA from 1 species